GGAAGGAUCUCUUCUGGAGAUCCACUCCUCUGGAGUUUCCCAUAUGAGCCCAGGUUAUGGCUCCUCUGGCACUAUCUGAGCCUGACAGCGCAACGAGAGACAUUAGAUCUCAGCUGUGGGCCUUGCUUCCCCUGUUUGACUAUGCUCAGCCUUUGCACCAUUCAGACCCAACAGACAAGCCUGGAUGCAAAUAUUUGUAGUCUGGAGAAGCAGUUUGGCAACCUAAUUUAUAAGCGUUAAUGGAUAAUUGUUAGCAAUUAAAUGUUUGAUUACCCAACUGAGCCUAUGGAUCAUGUUGCUAGAUUUCCAUCUGCUAAUAGCUGUGUGCACAGGGGAUCGUGGGGCUGAAAACAGGAGCGAAGACAGGGGUGUAAAGAUGCAAAUCUAACUCAGCACACAUGAAGCUCGGUUUGUGAGAAAACAUGAAGCUUUGCCUCUCUGUUUCUUUUGUAACUCUGCAUUCAAAACUGUGGUGCAAAUGUCUGCAGAUUUAAAAAGUGUCCACUGUAUUAGAUGAAGAAUUAGAUCAGUGUCUAAUUUGAAAGCUCAGAAUUAAGGAAGUUUUAAAUGGAUUUGAAGCAGCCUUCUGUCUGUCUCCAGGCAUGGAUAUUAUGCUGGGAGUUUCUGGUCUGUCACCAAAGGUUUGGCCUUUGUCAAAGGGUGAGGCAAUUGUCACACAAACUUAUUGCACAGCAGUGGCUUCACAGUGUACAGUGAUUUGGAAAAUUUGGCUGGCUUUGUGUUUAUUUUCCCUCUGCCUCAGCUGAGUCGCCCUCACUGACUGCUGUUUAGCAACUGUGCAGAGUGGGAGACAUGAAUAUUGCACUGGCUACUGCUGACAUUUGUAUUGAAAAGCCCUGGAUGCAGUGAGAUCCCAUAGGAAACAGAUGGCUCCCUGUGUAAGCAGCAGCUCUCAGAACCCCAGAACUGAAAGGAAGGACUUGUUAGAUGAUGGGAAGCUUCUUGAAGUCUGAAGGAAAGCAAGAUUCCCACCCCUGGCAGUACAGGAGCAGCACCACUACUCCGCAUCAAUAAGUAAUCUUAACAUGGGAAGCAAAGGUUAAUGACUAAUCUGUUUACCUGAGCUUCAUUAAUCAAAGAUUUACUAGAAGUCAGAAGCCGAUCACCACUCAGGCACAGACAGCUCUGCUUCCAGGUUGAAGAAGACAACCACUCAGCCUGCACAAAGCAUGUAACUCAAUACUGAGCAAUUUUCCCAGUGUGCGGAUGACAAAGGGGAGCAUCAAAGAGAAAAGGCUCUAAUCAGAAGGGAUUAUAUCUGGGCUGCAUGGAGCAGAGGGAAAGCCUCUGUCUCUCAUGAUGUGAAGAAGAGUUCAGCUAUGCCUAACAGCAAUAUUAUCAACCAUCUGAGAUGAUUAUGGGGUACUUUUAUGUCAUGAAAUAUUGUCGUCUUCUCCAUUACAACUGACACCUCAAUAACAGCACCUGAAAAGAUUUAGAAGUUGCCAGAGGACUGCCAAAAAUACCCAGCAUAGGGGUGGGGAAACAUUGGCUGGUAGGCACAGAAUGCCUGGGGAGCUGCCCUGCUACCCUUCCUUCAGUACCGGUACGAGGCGUGCUGUAAAAUGCAUCUGCUUAAUGGAGCCAUUCAGAACUUUAUGUGUGUUGUGGCAAUUAAUCUCCACAUCAUGAUUCUAAUUAUGAUCCGGAGGUUAAAGGCACUAAAGAAAAAUUAAAUACCAGCUUGGGCACUCAGUGUUGAGUAUUGAAUGUGCAGCUUUAACCCAAUGAUUCAGUCUCAUCCAUGCUCCCAGAGUGACAGUCCAUUUCUUCUGAAGAAAGCGUUGGAGGCUGAAAACUUUUUGAUGACCCCACUUCUCUCCUUCAAAGACAACUGCCUUACAUGAACCUCCAGAGACUGAGCAAACCAGAUCAGAAAAAAUUAUUUUUCUUACGCAAGGCUGAUUCAUUGAAUUCAAGGGACAGUAAUGCCUAUGCGCGUGGGAUUGUCACAGACACUGGCUAGAAAAAUAUUGGAAAAUACUCUACUAAACCAGAGAGUGCAAUGCAUUUUGCUUUGUGGUAGUCUGGGAUUCUUUAUGGUGGUCUCUUGCUGUGUCUCACAAUUUCAGUGUAGUUUGCAACAAGCUAAAAGAACUGUGCUAAGCAGGGAGAGAGUACAUUGAGUGCUGAGCUCAGGUGUUGUCACCACUCCAGGCAUGGCACACAGAUAUUUCCCUGCAUUGGCAGAGAGGUGAUGCUGCCAGUGCUGCAUGGGACCUGUAGGCACGGCAGUCAUUUUGUGUCACUGGUUACAAAGCUCUGCAGCCAUGCAAAGCUCCAAAGGGGCUGUGGGCAGCGGAGCAGGAGUCAGGAGAAUCAGAGACCAGACCUACUCCAGGAUGUAGUUGCAGACCCAUCUUCUUACUGCAAUGUGUUAGGAUGCUCCCAGCCAAAGGAGUGCCAGUCUCAGCUGAAACCUGCACCGAUGGUCCAUUGCUAUGGUAAGAGGAAGAGCACAUAUGAAAACCUGGUAUUUUAAAAAUAUAUAAAACAUCUCUUAAAGUCCUGGACUUCCUCUCCACCACACACAGCCCACAGAUCUGUGAGUGGCUGUUGUUAUCAAGUGAGGCACCUCAUUUCCUUCAGUGUUUUUCAACCACCAAAACGGAUGCCUCCUUAUCACACAAAACCGAGUGAAAACAUUGGUUUGCAGACGAAGACAUCGACCAGGUGCUCUCGCUACUCUAUCUGUUCACCAGGCAUGGAUGUCAUUAUCAGCAUGUGGCAACCCUGACAUCAUUGUAUGGCAUCCCUCAAGUCCAACAAGAGCGAUGCGGCCUGACAAGGAAGAUUCUGUAUUUAAUAAAACCCAUUUUUGCUGAAGGCGAUGCUUCUCUUCCCCUGGAGAGAAUGAUCAGUUUCAUAUGAAGCUGUUUUUUGCAUGCACAGAACUGUACACACUGGGAACUACUUGGAAAGCGGGAAAAGAUGUCUGAGCAACAACAGAUACACCUUUGAGCCAGGAAUGGUUUUUAAAGACAAUUUCCCAUUUAAUAUUGUAACACCAUUCAUUUUUUUAAUGCUCUUUUUCCUUUUCCAUAUAGGUUUACAGCUCAAAGAAAGCAUGCAUCUACCCUUGUUGUGAACAGAGCAAUAGGAAGAGAUAAAUAUAAUCAGAUGAACAUUUGGAAUUUAUUUUGGAGUGCCUGAAUCUGAAUGAGAAGGAGACUCAGUUGGGAGGUUUUACCUGAGGAUGGUUGGGUCUCCUGUGCAAGAGCCAGGGCUCUCCUUUAUAUAGAGUGGGAACUGCAUAGGGGAAGGACUUAAAGCAAUAGUUGGAGAUGGGUGGCUGAGAUUUUGUUCUGUCCAUCAUUUAACACCAGUAGGACUAAAUUGCAUGGUUAAUAGUAUGCUACAGAAUAGAAUUCUUCAUUUUUUUUUUCUUUGUGAUUUUAAUUCAAAAUAAUGUGUGUGUAUGUAUGUGUG